rnacentral:misc_RNA from 1 species
UUCAUUUAUUUAAUCAAUACUCCGACGCAAAGAGACAGCGUUAAAUGGUCCUCCGGGGGCGGCGGCGGACGCUCUGCCCCCGAGGCAAAAGGGUUUUGGUCAACAAUGGGUUGGGGACGGGGGCACGGAGGCCCGCCAUCUUUAGUAAUGAUCCCUCCGCAGGUUCACCUACGGAGA